rnacentral:piRNA from 1 species
UACAUGGAUUUCUAAUGGUCUUGAGGGA